rnacentral:rRNA from 1 species
UACGAAGGGGGCUAGCGUUGUUCGGAAUUACUGGGCGUAAAGAGCGCGCAGGCGGUCGUUCAAGUCGAGUGUGAAAGCCCCCCGGCUCAACUGGGGAGGGUCAUUCGAUACUGAUCGACUUGAAGGCAGGAGAGGGAAGUGGAAUUCCCGGUGUAGUGGUGAAAUGCGUAGAUAUCGGGAGGAACACCAGUGGCGAAGGCGACUUCCUGGCCUGUUCUUGACGCUGAGGCGCGAAAGCUAGGGGAGCAAACGGG